GGAAGUGUGGCCGAGUGGUUUAAGGCAGCGGUCUUGAAAACCGCCGACUCGCAAGGGUCCCAGAGUUCGAAUCUCUGCGCUUCCGCCA
rnacentral:tRNA from 15 species